UACAGGGGGUGCAACCGUUGCUCGGAAUCAUUGGGCGUAAAGCGCACGUAGGCGGUUCGUUAUGUCGGAUGUGAAAGCCCUUGGCUUAACCGAGGAAGUGCAUCCGAAACUGGCGAGCUAGAGUACUAAAGAGGAUCGCGGAAUUCCCGGUGUAGAGGUGAAAUUCGUAGAUAUCGGGAGGAACACCGGGGGCGAAGGCGGCGAUCGGGGUAGAUACUGACGCUGAGGUGCGAAAGCGUGGGGAGCAAACAGG
rnacentral:rRNA from 1 species